CCCUUAGAUGUUCUGGGCCGCACGCGUGCUACACUGAGUGGAUCAGCGGGUCAGGUUGCGCGAAAGCGUUUCCUAAUCUUUAAAUCCGCUCGUGAUGGGGAUUGACGGUUGCAAUUUUCUGUCAUGAACGAGGAAUACCUUGUAAGCGCGGGUCAUCCCGCGCUGAAUACGUCCCUGCCCUUUGUACACACCGCCCGUCGCUCCUACCGAUUGAGUGGUCCGGUGAGGCUUUGGGAUCUGAGCGGAAAGAGCGUUUCGCUGUUUCUGCUCGGAAAACUCAGUCGAACCUUAUCAUUUAGAGGAAGGAGAAGUCGUAACA
rnacentral:rRNA from 1 species